rnacentral:rRNA from 11 species
CAGAGGUGAAAUUCUUGGAUUUAUUGAAGACUAACUACUGCGAAAGCAUUUGCCAAGGAUGUUUUCAUUAAUCAAGAACGAAAGUUGGGGGCUCGAAGACGAUCAGAUACCGUCCUAGUCUCAACCAUAAACGAUGCCGACCAGGGAUCAGCGGAUGUUGCUUUUAGGACUCCGCUGGCACCUUAUGAGAAAUCAAAGUUUUUGGGUUC